CUACGGACUUAAGGAAAUUGAGCCUUGGCGGAGAAAUCUGCUAAGUGAAUGCUCUCAAACUCAGGGAAACCUAAAUCUGCCCCAAAUCGGCAGACACGGCAAUCCUGAGCCAAGCCGAAGCCAAACGCUUCGGAAGGUGCAGAGGCCCGACGGGAGCUACCCUAACGUCAAGCCGAGGGUAAAGGGAGGGUCCAAUUCUCAAAG
rnacentral:ncRNA from 1 species